AGUUAAGGGCCUCCGAUAUUAGUUUGCCAACUGGAUGGUAUAUACAGGUCUUUCUGUCUGUCUAUAUAAUUAAUUGUCAAGUUUUCACAAUAUUGCAAUGCCGUUGAAAUUUUCUCACAAAACGUUUUAGGUGAAUAUAAAUUUAAAAAUAUAUAUCAAGCAGAAAACGUUAUAUGUAAAAAGCAUUAGCCUAGUUCAAGUGUUUCAGAAGAUCGUAUCGGUAUGAUUAUUGCUUUCUGGUUAAUAUUUGAAGUCGCCUUUCAUUUGGAUGUUGCUGACGGGCAUGACCAUCAUCAUCAUCAUCAUCAUCCCAGAGUGAUAAUUACGGAGAAAGACUGUGCAGUCAGGAAGCACACGUUACAGGGGACGCACAGCCGCGUGGAGCUCCUUCAGGGCCCGAGACACCGCACUCUGUAUGCUGGAGGUGGUGGCAGGCUGUUCUACUUGGACUUCCGGGAACAUGACGGCAAGGAGAUGCCGGUGUUCAACUGCUCCAAUUCUUGUUCAAGAAACAUAAGCUCGUGUGACUAUGACAUCACUCUUCUUCACGAGUGUAAGAAUGGAAGUGCACUCUUCAUCUGUAGGACCGAUAGGACUACUCCAGUGUGUUGCAGUGCGUCCAGAGAGACUGGUUUUUGCGAUGAAUGUCACCCGGAAAAAGCAGUGGCCCCGGUUUCUGUACAUGAGCGUGCACCGUCUCUCUAUGUUGGGGAGGAGCUGUACACGACUGCCAACAUGGUCAACGGGGGCAACCACGUGGGCAUCCGCAGGCAUUAUGGACAUCGAGUCAGCAUUUGGCCAAGUGACAACGUGACGGAGCAGAAUUAUGUGGCCCUAGUUGCGAGCCCCAGACCUAACAAGAUUCAGGACCGGAUCUACGCCUUCCUGGUCCAGAGGAAUGCAGACCAGCACAGGGAGGCGGAUCUGUGGGUGUCCCUUGUCACCCAAGUGUGCCAGGCAGAUUUGGGCGGGCCCAAAUCAUUUUUACAAAGGAGCUGGACAUCCCACCUUAGCGCCCUGCUGUCCUGUGGCAUCGCUGAGAAGAAGCUGUACUUUAACCAGCUGCUGGAUGUCGCGGUCCUAGAGCAGGACAUCUGGAAAGACAGCAUGGUGUAUGCCCUCUUCUCCAAUGGCUGGGGCAUGACAGCGGUAUGCGUCUUCACCAUGGGUGACAUUGACUACGUCUUCACAAAUUCCCCAUUCAAGGGAUACAUGGGCACGGUUCCACACCCGCGGCCCGGAACGUGCGUUGAAGACAGCACAAAACUUCCUCAGGAUGUGCUUCGAUUGGUAAAAGACCAUCCUGAGAUGAAGGACUGGGUCAGGCCAGUGAAUAACAGCGACCCCAUUUUCAUCAGUCAUCAUCAUCAAUACAAACACAUCCGAGUGGACAGAGUGAACAGCAGCCUGGGGGACUCCUACCACGUGAUACUGCUUACGCUGGGGAGUGGCAGGGUACACAAAGUGCUGGAGCAGGACGGCCACACCUUCGUUAUUGCUGAACUGCGGCCCUUUGCCUACUGCUGCCAUAUCCGCAACGUUCUGCUGCAGCCACAUACGAAGAUGCUCUAUGUGAGCAGCAGCAGUGAGGUUGUAGAGCUGGACCUGCGCAGCUGCCAGGCCUAUGGACCACGGUGUGAGGACUGUGUUAUGGCCCGGGACCCCUACUGCGGAUGGAAUGGAACUCACUGUGCACCAGUCACCAGGUAUAGCCCAUAGUCUUCAGGUCUACACAUAACCUCUCACACAAGCGGUGAAGUUUUAGGAAGGACCUUGAGGGAGUAGGGUCUAAAGAAUAUUAAAUUGGCAGGAGGGGCAUUAUUCAUUCACAGUUGUGUACCAGUUUGAAUGAGAUGAAAUCGGGGCUCUUAAAAAGCCUUUAUUGCUGUUUGUAUGUCCUUAUAAAUUAUCGAGGUAAGACUUUGUUGUGUUGCCUCAGAUGACCACACAUAACAGCAAAGGGAUUCAGUUCUGUCUUCUCAAAGGUUCUCUUUUGGCAUGGGUGAGUGUAGGAAUACUGCAUGUUUUGGCAUCUUGUGCCUGCUUGAGACAGCAGAAAUCAGGGAAGGUCAGUUUGGGGAGUAUGCACUGCACUGGCGCAGCAUUUUGUACCAGCUAAAGAUGUGCCAAACCGAUCAGUAUCAGUUUUCAGUAUUGUAUCGGUCCGAUUCUGGCCUAAAUUACAGGACUGGAUAUUGGGGAGGAAUAAAAAAUGUAAUCCGAUCCAUUAAACAUCACGGAAAUGUUUGACAAAACCUGAAACAUGCAGUAAGCAGAUGCGUCACGUUCUCGCAUAAAACAGCGUGUGUCACGCGAUAGGAGCUUCUGUUGUGCGUGAGACCUGCCGGCAUGUCAGCAGUGUGGAGAUACUUCAAAUGCACAAAAGAAAAAGGCAAGACCACGGAAUGUAAGGUGUAGUUGAAGUAUUUCGCUGAGUGGCAGCAGCUUUGGAAACUGCAACACCACAAACCUGAUUUAGCAAUGCUGCUAAAAGUGAUAAAGUUUAAAUAAAAAGUAGCAGUUUUGGGUGCAAGGCAUUUCUUACAUAUUAUGAGUGUAAUACAGUGGGAAACGCUUAUAGUGAUCAUGUCUGUGUGGGUGAAAUUGAUCACUAUAAGAGCAUGGUCAUUAUAACAGAUUUUUUUUUUCCCCAUUUUCUUUAUGUCUCAGGCAGAUAAAUAUAUAAGUGUCAAUUACAUGGUAAUUAUAUGGAUGAGGUAAUAAAACAGACAGCAUUGCUAUUUACUGAAUUUAACUGACUCUCAAAAUAAAGAAUAAAGAAUCUUGAAAAUACAGUACAACUAUUUCAAACGCUUUUCAAAGUACUGUAUUGCUCACUCCUGACAAACCCCAGAAUCGACAGGGAAGAAUGCAGAGGUUCUAUCUCCUCUCUGCACAACACUAACAGCAACAGAGUACAGGCUGGCAAUGAUCCCAACUGAGCUGAAUGUUUUACAAAAAUUGACAAAGGCUGCAAAGAAACUCUGAUAAACUCUGAAAACCCGCAGUGCCAGGAAGUGGUCAAUGGUAGACUUUUUUAAUGUAAAACCAGCCUGCUCCAGUCACUGGUUGGUGAGCAAGUGACCACAGAUGCUGUUAAGGAUGACCCCAGUAAGGACCUUACCCAGCAUGGAGAGCAGAGUUGCCUCCCAGUAGUCAUACAUUUCACUUUCUAGAUAGGGACAAGAAGUCCAGUUUUCCAGUCAGUUGGGAUGACAGCUUUCCCAGGAACAGCUACUCCCUGAGUAGGGCAGCCAUCAGAGAAACCAGACCAAAAGUAGGUGUUCCCACCUAGAGAUAUCUGGCCACUCCGGUCUGUGGAGUUUACGAAGUUCCUGAUAGCAUCGUGCCAGAGUGACGCGGCUACCUGAUAGGGACCAGAGUGCUGCCGUGCAGCGGGUGACGCUUCAGCGCCACACCGGUUCCGAUUCCCAGUGGGCCUGGUCUCAUUGGCUCCCCGGUAGUUUCGACACCUCUGGGGAUGACCCCAUUCAUGAAGUAUGCAGCUUUCCUGUGGGUGGCUGCGGCAGAGCUACUCCCAUGGAGAGCUGAAAAGAGUCCUGGGUGAAGUUCUUACGGUGGCUUGAGCACCAAACCUGCCACCAGCCCCCAAAAUUUUCUAUGCAAGAUGGAGGACCACUUACAGGGGCGGAUGCAGUUUAACCUCAUACCCAACCUAAUGGAGAAACCCAAGGGCAUAAAGUCACUAUGCAGAGCAUUCUCUGUUACAGUACACUCAGAAGUGAGUCUGACUUAAGUAACUAUUAUAUAGUCAUGCAUUACUUAACAAAACCAAUACAUUCUGAGAAAUGCAUUGUUAGGCAAUUUUGUUGUUGUGUGUACAUCAGAGUAUACUUACACAAACCUAGAUUAUAUAGCCUACUGAACACCCAGGCUAUAGGGGAUAGCCUAAAUAACGAUUAAAAAGUACAGUAUAGUAAAUAUACAAAACACUAACAAUUAUUAUUCAGUACUAUGUACUGUACAUAAUUGCAAAUCGUUUUGUACAACUGGCAGCACAGUAGAUUUGUUUACACCAACAUUACCAGAAACACAUGACUAAUGCAUGGCACUAUAAAAUUACAACAGCUACGAUGACACUAGGCGACAGGGAUGCUUCAUCUCCAUUAUAAUCUUAUGAGAUCAUUGUCAUAAAUGUCAUCUGUUGACUGAAAAAUGUGGUACAUGACUGUAUAUGAAUUGUAACCAAAAAAAAAAGUAGGAAGGUGACACCUUGUCAGAAUGCAGUUUAUCCUCGAAAUUUAAUACAAAAAAGCCACAGUUCGGAUUGCAUAAAGGCUUCUUCGGUUUAGUGAACUUCAGUCAAAAAGACGUUUUGAAUGCUAGUAUAAUUCCUAGGACAUCCACCAGAAAUUACCACCGAGCCCUUGGAGUUCUAUUCCUGGCAUAGGUCCAGCGUUAAGAGGCAUUGUCUUCUUGUUUUAUGUUACAACAGAAUGGCUCUUUGCAAUAAAUUCUGUUCUCAUAAGGUAAGACGUUACAUUUAAUUGAGGUUACACUAUAGCCAGUCUCUCAUAAUAAACUAACAAUUAAAAUAUUUUUAGGACAUCACACUAGCAUCCUCGCAGGAGAACCACUAGUCAUUAGUAAGAACAAUGCAAGUGAAAUUAGAUUGUAGUUUGUUUAUCUAUACAUUGGCAGCUAAGAUUAAAAUUUCACUUUUGAAAUAACAGCAAAAAGAGUGAGUGAUCACUGUGAUGCUGCACUGAAAGAGCAGUUAUGGAAAAAUGGAGUGUGAAAUGGAAAAAGAUUUUAAUAUAGUGCAGCAUAAGUGAAUAAAAAUUUAAGGCUUUCCCUGAUACCACCACUCAUUUUUCAGUUUUUGGUUAAAGGGCUUCAGUUCCACUGUUCUACUUUAAUGGGUAACGACAGUGAAACCUGAAAGGGUGUUAAUAAGUACGCCUGGCAAGAGAGCAUUCGAGGCCCAUUUUGUAAUCUUAUCAAUGAAUCUGCCUCUACAUGCUUUGGACAUUCAGGUGAAGAAAGGAGCUGUCAGCUGAUCACCACCUGGUGGUGAUUUGGACGAUGGGCGAAAAUGCCAGAUAGACCCGAUAGACCCAAAUGUAUAGUGAGACUGUGCUUGGAGUGUUUGGCCAAGGCCCCUGUCUGAGGGGUCUUCAACUUGCACCUUUGGCCGAACUCCUCUUGCAUCCCAAACAAGGGUGGAGACAUUGAGCCUGAAUGGACAAUGUUCUGGGACUUCAAUGCUGAGGCGGGUGUGCGGAGCUGAAAGGUUGCUGGUGCCCGUCCUGGUGGCAAUCCCCAAACCCGGCGGUGGGCACCAGCUGUAAAGGGGUGUUGAUAGGCUGAGGGAGGAGGCCUUCUGAGCUUUGUUAACUUGUGGGACUCCUAAAACAGGUGAAACGUACUGGCAGGCCAAGCAGAAAGUGGCUUUGGCCGUUGCGGAAGCAACGGUGUGAGAGGAGUCUGGUGAGGGCAUAGACAAUUACUUUUGGGCGACCUCAAAAAGUUUCUGGCAGUCAGGUGACUCAGGUGGGGCAAGAAGGGGUUCACCCAUUCUGUCUAGAGUAGGGAUGGAGCGCUGUUGACCUCAAAUGGGAAUAUAGUCAGGCAGUGGAAGGAAUAUUUCAAGGACCUCCUGAAUCCCACUGAAAUGCCUUCCUUGAAGGAAGUAGAGCUGGAAGCCUCAGAGGACUUACCCAUCACUAGGGCUGUUGUCACGGAAGUAGUCAAAAAAAAAGAACAAAACACUUUGGUGGUAAGGCUCCUGAGUUUCUCCCAGCUCUUCAAGUUGUUGGGUUGUCUUGGCUGACACACCUCUUCAACAUUGCGUGGAGGUUGGGGUCAGUGCCCACGGACUGGCAGACUGGAGUAGUGGUCCCAAUCUUUAAGAAAGGGGACCGGGGGAUGUGUUCCAACUACAGAGGGAUCACACGCUCAAUUUAAGUAUCUGUUAUUCACGAGUGAGGGAAGAAGGGAACAGAAGAUCAGUGCAACGUCAACAGUAAUGCAGAGGCUGCAGGGUUCUGUGAUGGUGAAGAGAGGUGAGUGGUGGAGAGAGAGGUGAUGGAUUCACCGGUCAAUCUACGUUCAUACUAUCAUCUAUGGUCAUAAGCUUUGGGUGGGUGACUGAAAGAAUGAGAUUGUGGAUACAAGUAGCAGAAAUCAGUUUCCUCCACAGGGUGUCUGGCUCAGCCUUAGAGAUAGGAUGAGGAGCUCGGACAUUCGGGAGGGGCUCAAAGUACAGCCGCUGCUCUUCUGCAUCGAAAGAAGUCAGUUGAGGUGGUUUGGGCAUCUAUUACGGAUGCCUCCUGAAUGUUGACCUGGGGAGAUGCUGCGGGUAUGUCCAAUUGGGAGGAGACACCGGGGCAGACCCGGGACAUGCUGGAGAAAGAAUCUCUCGAAUGGCCUGGGACAACCUUGGUAUCACCCCCAGAGGAGGUGGUGAGGGUCAGCAUCCUCUCAGCCCAUCACACAUUUGCAGCACGAGGAUUCAUGAAUAGGCUCUUUAUCACACAGUCCUCUAUGGCUUUUUUGUUUC